GACGAACGCUGGCGGCGUGCUUAACACAUGCAAGUCGAACGAUGAAGCCGGAGCUUGCUCUGGUGAAUUAGUGGCGAACGGGUGAGUAACACGUGAGUAACCUGCCCUUGACUCUGGGAUAACUGCGGGAAACUGUAGCUAAUACCGGAUACGACCCUCGGAGGCAUCUCCUGGGGGUGGAAAGAAUUUCGGUCAAGGAUGGACUCGCGGCCUAUCAGCUAGUUGGUGAGGUAAAGGCUCACCAAGGCGACGACGGGUAGCCGGCCUGAGAGGGGGACCGGCCACACUGGGACUGAGACACGGCCCAGACUCCUACGGGAGGCAGCAGUGGGGAAUAUUGCACAAUGGGCGCAAGCCUGGUGCAGCAACGCCGCGUGAGGGAUGACGGCCUUGGGGUUGUAAACCUCUUUUAGCAGGGAAGAAGCGAAAGUGACGGUACCUGCAGAAAAAGCACCGGCUAACUACGUGCCAGCAGCCGCUGUAA
rnacentral:rRNA from 1 species